UUCUCUAUGGUGUAAUUGGCAGCACAACGGAUUUUGGUUCCGUUAGUUUAUGUUCGAGUCAUAAUGGAGAAG
rnacentral:tRNA from 1 species